AUGAUGAGCCGGGCCACCCCCGACCAGGAGCGAGCGCCGGCGUCCGAGCCCGUGUGGGAGCGUCCCUGGUCGGUGGAGGAGAUCCGCAGGAGCAGCCAGAGCUGGUCGCUGGCGGCCGACGCGGGCCUACUACAGUUUCUGCAGGAAUUUUCACAGCAGACUAUCUCUAGGACUCAUGAAAUCAAGAAACAAGUGGACGGACUAAUCCGGGAGACUAAAGCCACCGACUGCCGCCUACACAAUGUCUUCAAUGACUUCCUUAUGCUCUCUAAUACCCAGUUCAUUGAAAACCGUGUAUAUGAUGAGGAGGUGGAGGAGCCGGUGCUCAAGACUGAGGCAGAAAAACCAGAACAGGAAAAGACCCGGGAACAGAAAGAAGUGGAUCUGAUUCCUAAAGUCCAGGAGGCUGUGAACUACGGUUUGCAGGUGUUGGACAGUGCAUUUGAGCAACUAGACAUAAAAGCAGGAAGCUCAGACUCUGAAGAGGAUGAUGCUAAUGAGCGGAUGGAAUUGAUCCUUGAGCCAAAGGACCUGUACAUUGACCGCCCUUUACCUUAUUUAAUUGGGUCAAAGCUGUUCAUGGAGCAGGAAGAUGUAGGCCUGGGAGAGCUUUCUAGUGAAGAAGGUUCAGUGGGCAGUGAUCGUGGGAGUAUUGCAGACAGUGAGGAAGAGAACGAAGAAGAGGAGUCAGAUGAAGAUUUUGCCAAUCACAGUGACAGUGAUCAAAACCGGCACACGGCACAGAUGAGUGACGAAGAGGAGGACGAUGGUUGCGACCUUUUUGCUGACUCUGAGAAGGAGGAGGAGGAUGCUGAAGACGUUGACGAGCGUUCUAGACCCAAAAGAAGCAGGCCUACGUCAUUCGCUGAUGAACUGGCAGCUCGGAUCAAAGGGGACGCCUCAAGCCGGAUGGAAGAGGAGCGCGCAACCUUAUCCCCGGGGGAAGCAAAACCUCAGAAGACGUUGAAGGAGAAGAAGGAAAGGAAAACUCCCUCAGAUGAUGAAGAAGAUAACUUAUUCGCACCCCCGAAGCUGACAGAUGAAGACUUCUCGCCGUUUGGUUCUAGAGGCGGCCUGUUCAGUGGAGGGAAGGGACUUUUUGAUGAUGAGGAUGAGGAGAGUGACCUCUUCACAGAAGCCCCUCGGGAUCGGGGAGCUCGAACCCCUGUUAAUGAAGCAUCUUCAUCCUCUAAACCUGGAAAGAAAAUCCCGGCAGGAGCUGUUUCUGUGUUUUUAGGGGAUACUGACAUGUUCGGUGGCGCCUCUUCCCCGGCACUGAAGGAGCCCCAGAAGCACGAGCAGCCCCCUCCAGGGAAAAGCGCGCACGUCCCAGCAUCUGCUGGCCUCUUUGAUGAUGACGACGACGACGACGACUUUUUCGCGGCAUCCCGUAGCAAACCUCCCAAGACAGACAGAGUCAGACCCACUGCCAGCAUCUUCGACGAUGAAGGAGAUCUGUUCGAAGAAAAAGCAGUGGCUUUGCCAGAAGCGACUGUGAACCAGACAGACGAAGAUAAAGCAAGAGCAGAAACAAAGGUUAUGCUACCUUCCAGCAAAAAUCUCAAGCUUUCAUCGGAAACAAAGACUCACAAAGGCUUAUUUUCAGAUGAGGAGGACUCUGAGGAUUUGUUUUCUUCUCAAAGUGUGAGUAAGCCAAAAGAUGCAACUCUGCUGCCUGGCAAACCCCCCAGCUCAGUCUUGCUUUUCGAUGAUGAAGAUGGACAGGAUAAUCUUUUUGAUACUCCAGCUGCUAAGAAGCAGACAUCGGCUCUACUGACUCAGAGCCAAAAGAAAGCAAAGCCCUCUGAGCCUCCCAAAAAGAAAGCAUCUGCCUUACUGUUCAGCAGUGAUGAGGAGGACCAGUGGCAUAUUACUGACUCACAGACCAACUUGACAUCUGACAAGUCUAAAGGAGAUCUUAGGGACCCUGAGACCACCCACCAGGAGGUUAAGGCCUUGAAGAAGACCAGCCUCUUUGAGGAGGAUGACGAGGAUGACCUAUUUGCUGUUGCCAAGGACAGCCAGAAGAAGGCCCAGAGAGCAUCACUGCUGUUUGAGGACGACGGUGGCAGCGGAAGCUCCCUGCUCGGCUCUCCGCCCGCACCUGCCGCUCCCGCAGCCACGAAAAAAGAGACUGUCCCUGAAGUACCGCCUUUGCUGUUCAGCGAUGGAGAAGAAAAGGCGGCGCAGUCUGGAGUGAAACCUGCAGCGAAGAAGGCUGAGCGUGCCCAGGGGACCUCGGAAUUGGGGAGAACUCCUGUGGUCAAGGAGCCAGGAAAGGAAGGAUCUUUGAAUGCACCUACUCAGGAAACAGCCAAGAACUCUGAUUUGUUUUCUUCGUCGUCCCCAUUGGACAAAGGACCUAAAAGUAGAACCAAAACGGUUCUUAGCUUAUUUGAUGAGGAAGAGGAUAAAACAGAAGAUCAAAGCAGCUUCCAGGCUCUGAAAAAGGAAGCAGGAAAGAGUCCUGAUCCUGGUACCCGCCCCAAGAGCACAGGUGUCUUUCAGGAUGAAGAGCUCCUUUUUAGUCACAAGCUCCAAAAGGACAACGACCCAGAUGUUGACCUUUUCUCUGGCACCAAAAAAUCCAGGUUGUUCGAGCCCAGUGUGGGGAGCCUGUUCGGAGACGACGAAGACGAUGAUCUCUUCGGCUCUGCCAAGUCACAGCCUUCGAUCCCAGGAAAGAAGAAGGUAGUGAAAAAAGACAACUCUGUCUUUUCCUCUGUCAAGAACCAGAAGCAUCCUGAAUCCACUCAGGGUAUCAAAGAAAAAGACACAUGGAAAUCGGAAACAUCUCAGGACUCACCAGGUCCCGCUCCACUUAAAACCAAAGAGCCAUCCCCUCGGAUCUGGAAAAUACAAGCAAAUUUAGCGAUCAACCCAGCAGCCUUGCUGCCUCCAGCAGCUCCCCAGAUCUCUGGAAUGAAGUCUGUUUUGCCAGAAUCUGGUGUUCCUUCGUCUGAACCUGGAAGGAUGCAGAGUCUGGAAAGUGUGCCCACUCCUGGGAGUGGGGAGGCUGGUGUGAGUUUUGACCUUCCCGCUCAGGCAGAUACCUUACACUGUGCAAACAAGACCCGGGUCAAAGUGAGAGGGAAGCGCAGACCACAGACACGUGCCGCCCGGCAGCUGGCUGCCCAGGAGUCCACCGAGGCCGAGGAUAUGGGUUCCCCCACGGGAUUUGUGGCACAGUUGACAGAUGGCACCACAUCACCAGGUGGUCGUCAGCCACCGCUGAGGGCAGUUGGUGGAGCAGACACCCCUGAAGAAGCAGUGGCAGCUGCCACUCCAACGUGGGCAGAUAUCUUUUCCAAGGGCAUUGCAUCUCAGUCCUCAGGAAGAAGAAAAACCAAAGCGAAGGCAGCCGGCAGCCUGGCCAACCUGGGGGAGGGAAGUAAAGACAGACGCCCCAUGUUCCCUGCUCUCGGUGAGGCGGGCAGUGAUGAUGAUCUCUUUCAGUCUGCUAAACCAAAACCAGCAAAGAAGACAAAUCCUUUCCCUCUCCUGGAAGAUGAGGACGAUCUGUUUACAGACCAGAGAGGCACAAAGAAUGGGUCAAAAUCCAACAGUCAACAGGAUAUUAUCUCAAAAGCACAAGAUAUAUUUGAGGAUGAUAUAUUUGCUACAGAAGCAAUUAAACCCUCACAGAAAACAAGAGAGAAGGAAAGAACAUUUGACUCCAACUUAUUCGAUGAUAACAUUGAUAUCUUUGCUGACCUAACUGUAAAACCAAAAGAAAAGUCUAAAAAGAAAGUGGAAGCUAAGUCUAUAUUUGACGAUGAUACAGAUGACAUCUUCUCCUCUGGUAUCCAGACUAAGACAACCAAAUCAAAAAGUGGAUCUUCACAGACAGUGACUGAAUCAAGAUCUGGACAGAAGGUUUCCAACAUAUUUGAUGACCCCUUGAAUGCCUUUGGAGGCCAGUAGAGUGUCCAGGGUAUCUUUCAGCUACAUCCUUGGGUCAAUGAUGCUGUCUUCUGUGCUCCUUAACUGAAUUAUAGAAAACGAACACUGAAACAGCUUACUCGCCUCUUACCCAGCAUACUUAAUAUUUUUCUGUACUGGUUUUAAAAUCAUGCUUAAUUCUGCAAACAAAAAUAAAUGUCUCACAGUGUUACUAU
rnacentral:lncRNA from 1 species